GACGAACGCUGGCGGCGUGCUUAACACAUGCAAGUCGUACGGUAAGGCCCUUUCGGGGGUACACGAGUGGCGAACGGGUGAGUAACACGUGAGUAACCUGCCCACAACUUUGGGAUAACGCUAGGAAACUGGUGCUAAUACUGGAUAUGUGCUCCUGCUGCAUGGUGGGGGUUGGAAAGCUCCGGCGGUUGUGGAUGGACUCGCGGCCUAUCAGCUUGUUGGUGGGGUAGUGGCCUACCAAGGCGGCGACGGGUAGCCGGCCUGAGAGGGUGACCGGCCACAUUGGGACUGAGAUACGGCCCAGACUCCUACGGGAGGCAGCAGUGGGGAAUAUUGCACAAUGGGCGCAAGCCUGAUGCAGCAACGCCGCGUGCGGGAUGACGGCCUUCGGGUUGUAAACCGCUUUCAGCAGGGACGAAGCUUUUUGUGACGGUGCCUGCAGAAGAAGCACCGGCUAACUACGUG
rnacentral:rRNA from 1 species